rnacentral:rRNA from 1 species
CCGCGUGAGUGAUGAAGGUUUUCGGAUCGUAAAGCUCUGUUGCCAGGGAAGAACGUCUUGGAGAGUAACUGCUCUAAGAGUGACGGUACCUGAGAAGAAAGCCCCGGCUAACUACGUGCCAGCAGCCGCGGUAAUACGUAGGGGGCGAGCGUUGUCCGGAAUUAUUGGGCGUAAAGCGCGCGCAGGCGGCUGUUUAGUCUGGUGUUUAAUCCUGGGGCUCAACCCCGGGUCGCACUGGAACUGGACGGUUUGAGUGCAGAAGAGGAGAGUGGAAUUCACUGUACGGUGAAUGCGAAAGAGGGAGGACCCCGUGGCGAGG